CGCAGACUGCUCUCCGACACGUGGUCGCCGUUCUGCGCUGUAGCUCAGUUCUGGUGGUUAGGUUUUUUCGGCUUGUGGUUAAUGGGCAGUGUAAGCAAACUAUGCGCUUUGUAUUCUGGCGGUACGAACCCUGCCCUAGCUAUUUCUUUCCGACUCUGCCUGCUGUGUAUAUCGCUAUCAUGACCAGCAUUGACGUCCUCGGAUGGCUUAGAGGUCGCCAUUUUUGGUUGGUGUCUUUGUCGUGCUAUCAGGAAGAUAGGUACCCAUAGCGGCACAGACGGCGGUCUGCGGUGCGCUGUCCAGUGAGGAGCAAGUGAGAACCUUAGGAUUCUCUCCCACAAACCCUUCCUCCCCGCCCCUUCGUCUCCGCCCGCCACCACCUUCCCAGCAAGCACUGUGCAUAUUUGCAUACGACUUCAAGGCUUUGCCUUUACUUUUAAAUAAAAAUCCGAAGAAAAUUAUAGAGUUUUCUUUGAAGAUUUCGCUCCAGAUCAAAAUGUUCUGCAAUUAUACUCUUAUCUUCAGGAACCGGGAAUAUAAAUUUCCAAUGGCUUUAUUUUCACCCUUACCAUAAAAGGAAUAUCCUAACACUGCCCCCACGUUUUGCAGUAGCCUCGGCAAAAAGGGCUUCUGUCGUGAGUGGCACACGUAGGGCAACUCGUUUGCUCUGCGUGCGGAAUCGACAUCAAGAGAUUUCGGAAGCAUAAUUUUUUGGUACUUGGGCAGCUAGUGAUCGUUGGUCCUGGCGCCCCGCUGUUUUAAA